rnacentral:rRNA from 1 species
AUGGAAGUGGCAUUAGCUACUGCUGCCUUAAGCGUAAGCUUAAAAUUGGCUGCAUCGCCGGCCUUAAGGAAACUCCUUUCUAAUGCUUCAACAUACCUUGGAGUCGAUAUGGUGCGUGAGCUCCAUGAACUGGAGACCACUAUCUUGCCGCAAUUCGAGCUGUUGAUUGAAGCAGCAGAUAAGGGAAACCACAAGCUCAAGUUGCACAAAUGGCUUCAGGAACUCAAAGAAGGUUUCUACCUGGCUGAAGACUUGCUGGAUGAUCAUGAGUAUAACCUCCUCAAGCGCCAAGCAAAGGGGAAGGAUUCCUUGCCGGCCAAUGCCUCCUCCAUCAGCAACACUUUUAUGAAGCCUCUGCGUGAUGCAUCAAGCAGGCUGUCCAAUCUGAGCUCUGAGAACAGAAAGCUAAUUCAACAUCUGAAUGAACUGAAGACCACCCUGGCGAAAGGCAAGGACUUCCGUAAACUGCUUUGCUUACCAGCUGAUUAUAAUGCAGAGAACCCUCCCAUAUCAUCAUCUGUUGUUCCUGAGACCACAUCAAUACCACCUCUGAAAGUGAUUGGCCGUGACAAGGAUUGUGAUCAUAUAAUAAAGCAUCUUACCAGGACAACUGCUAGUACUGAUUCUAGUAUAGCUUUGUACUCGGGUUUAGCCAUCGUUGGAGCUGGAGGCAUGGGAAAGUCCACCUUGGCACAACUUGUUUACAAUGACCCGAGGAUAAACGAAUAUUUUGCUGUGACAAUGUGGGUAAGCAUCUCACGCAAACUUGAUGUCCGCCGUCAUACACGGGAGAUCAUCGAGUCUGCCUCUCAGGGGGAAUGCCCACGCAUUGAUAACCUUGAUACUCUGCAGCGCAAGUUAACAGACAUACUGCAAGGAUCAGGGAAAUUCCUGCUUGUGUUGGAUGAUGUUUGGUUUGAACCUGGUAGCGAAAGGGAAUGGGACCAACUGUUAGCUCCUCUAGUUUCCCAACAUACGGGAAGCAAAGUCUUGGUAACUUCUCGACGAGAUACAUUCCCACCUGCUCUUUGCUGUGAAGAAGUGUGUCCUCUGGAAAAGAUGGAGGAUGCUCAGUUCUUGGCACUCUUCAGACACCAUGCAUUCUCUGGACCAGAAAUCAGAAAUCCACAGUUGUGUAAAAAGCUGGAAGGUUUUGCAGAGAAGAUUGCUAAAAGGCUUGGACAAUCUCCUUUGGCGGCAAAAGUUGUGGGUUCUCAGUUGAAAGGGAAAACAGAUAUAUCUUCAUGGAAUGAUGCUCUAACUUUAACAAUUGACAAAUUAAGUGAGCCCAUGGCAGCUUUGUUGUGGAGUUAUAAGAAGUUAGAUCCAUGUCUGCAAAGGUGCUUCCUAUACUGUAGCCUAUUUCCAAAAGGCUACAGGUAUGUCAUUGAUGAUUUGGUUUAUCUUUGGAUGGGUGAGGGUCUUUUUGAUUCCUGCAACCAAAACAAGAGAGUGAAAGAUAUUGGGAGGGAUUGCUUCAAGGAGAUGGUCUCUGUUUCAUUCUUUCAACCAUACGUUGGCCCGUAUUAUGUUAUGCAUGAUCUCCUUCAUGAUCUGGCAGAAUCACACUCCAAAGAAGACUACUUCAGAUUGGAAGAUGAUAAGGUGACAGAAAUAUCAUCCACUGUUCGACACCUAUCUGUUCGUGUUGAUAGUAUGAUGCAACACAAGCAAAGUAUCUGCAAGCUACAUCAUUUACGCACUAUUAUCUGCAUAGACCCCAUAGUGGAUGAUGUACGUGACCUUUUUAAUCAGAUAAUACAGAAUUUGAAGAAGUUGCGCGUGCUAUGCUUGUCAUCUUACAGCAGUAGUAAGUUGCCAGAUUCUGCUGGUGAGUUGAAGCACCUUCGGUAUUUGAAUCUUAAAGAAACACUGAUUUCUGAAUUGCCAAGAUCAUUGUGUACCCUUUACCACUUACAGUUACUUCUGUUAAAUGGUAAAGUUAAGAGUUUCCCUGAGAAACUCAGCAAUUUAGUGAAGUUACAACAUCUUGAAUCGAGCUUCAAAGAAGCAAUUCCUAACAUUGGCAAGCUAACUUUGCUUCAACAAUUAGGGGAAUUUUCUGUGCAAAAGAAAAAGGGAUAUGAGUUACAACAGCUCAGGGACAUGAACGAGAUUCAUGGCAGUUUAAGGGUCACAAAUCUUGAGAAUGUUGCUGGGAAGGAUCAAGCCUUAGAAUCAAAGCUGCACAAGAAAAGUCAACUUGGCAGCUUAGAACUUGUAUGGAGUUAUGAAAAUAACACAAAUGCAGAGGAUAGUUUACAUUUGGAGGUUCUAAAAGGCCUGAUGCCACCGCCUCAGCUUAGGGAUCUUACAAUUGACGGUUACAGAUCUUCAGAAUAUCCAAGCUGGUUACUUGAUGGUUCAUAUUUUGAGAAUUUGGGAUCUUUAAGCUUUAAUAAUUGCAGCGCAUUACAAAGCCUACCGUCCAAUAGCCUUCGUUUUUUACAUGUAGACAAUUGCCCACUGCUUAUAUUUAUUUCCAACGAUGAGAUGGAACAUCAUGAUCAGAGAGAGAAUAUCAUGAGGACAGACCACUUGGAAUCACAGUUUCGUUUAAUCUGGCAGGUGGAUUCAAGAUCACUUAUUAGGUCUGUACUCCCGAGGGAACAUUCAGUUCUGAAGCAGUUGUUGACACUGAUGCAUAGUGAUGUGACACAUGUUCAAAACCUUGAGAGCGCUCUACAAAGAGAGAAGGAUAAAGUAUUGGUGAAGGAGGAUGUCAUCAAGGCAUGGAUAUAUUGUCACGAGCAAAGGAUGCGACUCACAUAUGGAAGUAGCAUUGGGCUGCCACUUGUUCCACCAUCAGGACUUCGUCAACUUUAUCUUUCUUCAUGCUGUAUUACAGAUGGAGCUUUAGCUGUUUGCCUUGCUGGCCUAGCUUCACUGAAAAUUUUGUUCUUAGUAGAGAUUAUGACUCUAACUACACUCCCUUCAGAAGAGGUCCUCCAACAUUUGACAGAACUUUCCAGCUUGUCCAUCUAUGAUUGCUGGUGUCUCAGGUCGUUAAGGGGCUUACGAGCUGCUACCUCUCUUUCAUGUGUUGAUUUGAUUUCCUGCCCUUCUUUAGAGUUGGCAUGUGGAGCAGAAUGCUUGCCAUUAUCACUUGAGAGGCUCAGUAUACAGAAUUGUGUGUUUGCAGCUGACUUCCUCUGUACUGACUGGCCACACAUGAAUGAUAUUGUCAUACGGAAUUGCAGAAGUGCCGGAUGCUUGUCUGUUGGUAGUUUCACAUCUGUUAAACGUCUGUCGCUGGAGUGCUUGCCAGAUUUAUGUGUGCUCGAAGGAUUGUCUUCCCUGCAACUUGACCAUUUAAGUUUGAUUGAUGUUCCAAAGCUCACCCCUAAGUUUAUCUCACAGUUUCGAGUACAGGACUCACUUCAUGUUAGCAGUCCUAUAAUACUCAACGACGUGCUCUCAGCUGAAGCUUCCACAGUUCCAGAAUCUUUGACUCUUGAAGGCAGCAAGGAACCAUUCAUUUCAUUUGAGGAAUCCGCAAAUUUCACAUCUGUCAGGAGUCUGAGAUUCUGGGAUUGUCAAAUGAUUUCCCUGCCAACAAAUCUGAAGUGCUUCUCCAAUCUGAAGAGUCUAGACAUCUAUGGAUGCCCCAACAUAUCAUCUUUACCAGAUCUGCCAUCAUCCCUCCGGCACAUAAGCAUACGUUCUUGUGGUGAGCUCUUGAUGGAGAGCUGCCAAGCGCCUCAUGGAGAAAGUUGGCCAAAGAUCAAGCAUAUCCGCUGGAAGGGUAUUAGUUGA